CGCUCGCUCCCACUGGCUUUCGGAGCCACUGGGGACAAGCCCAGAGAGGUUGACAGAUGAGGAAACUGAGGCUCAGAGAGUGUCCCUUCCCACACGACUGGCUUGGAGUGAGAAAGUUCAGACCACCUUCAAGACAGGCCGACUGGCAGCCGAGAACGAGUUUUCCAGCGUUCUCAGGGUUUCCCCUCCGGUAUCCCUAAAACCAGCUGCUCUGGAACGUCUCUGGAGCUCAAGACACACGAGAUGAAGUAUCACCCUGACUGGAAGUUUUUAACCAUGACUCCUCAAAUGCAAAUGUCAUAAGCCAGUGAGAUCCUUUCAGAUGGAUUAGAUCUCCAUUUUACACAUGACAAAGUCCAGGCUGAGAGAGACAAGGUGUCAGGAAUGAGCUGCCAGGAACACCAGCCUCUGAAUAAGAAAUGUGUGAAAACUUUCUAGUGACAGAUUAAGACCCUAAACUGUUGAUACCAAGAGACGGGGACAACUUGGAACCUCACUGACCUCUCCUCCCCAUGUUGGCAGAUUUGGCAAAUAAAAACACAGGACACUCAAUUAAAUCUGAAUUUCAGCCCUGUGCAUUUGGAGUUGAGAAGAUUGAGAAACAAGGCCGGGCAUGGUGGCUCAUACCUGAAAUCCCAGCACUUUGGGAGGCUAAGGCGGACAUAUCACUUGAGGUCAGGGGUUCGAGACCAG